AUUAUAAAACUCCUGACAAUAAAAUACGGGAUAGAAAAGCAGGAAACAAUUUCACAACCAAUCACUUACAUAAACCAACGGAGUUACAGACAAAGGCCUACAGCCAAAAGUCUACAAAAGACCGGCUCUUAAAAAUGAACUGUCCUACGACCUACAAGUCGGACACUCUCUCCAAUCCUUAUGACUUCACCUCCGCAACUCCUCAAGGCCAACCAAAGCUAUCUGGCCGCUCUGUCCACCAGGGACCUGAAAUUUUAAUCCCACAACCGAGAUGAGACGAUGUCUCAGCAAGUUCAACCCCCUAAACCCCUAUUAGAAAGAAAAUACGCCCCGGGUGGCCUAGCCACAUCACACAGAAGACUUACCUCGCCUCAGCCUUCAUCUGCAGGUUAGCACAAUUUACAUAAUUCAACCACGUACAAUUAUGAUAACCAAACAACCCUGGCACAAUCACAUUAUCAAAACAAUUCAACCACUUGGAUCGUCUCAGCGAUCAAUCGACUCGGCCGAUUACAUGUCAUUCUAGCAAAUCAAUCAUUGCUCUCAAUCCCGGCCCUAUAGGAAGGUUUAACAAACAGUGGCAAUCACGGCCCCACUCGGCACGACCUUUAAUUAGGUGGUCCAUCACGGCCUCACUGGGCACGACCUCUAAUAAGUGGUCAAUCACAGCCUCACUGGGCACGACCUCUCCUAGGUGGUACAUCACGGCCCUAUUAGGCACGACCUCUCAUAGGUGGUCCAUCACGGCCUCACUGGGCACGACCUCUAAUAGGUGGUUAAUCACGGCCCUAUUAGGCACGACCUCUCAUAGGUGGUCCAUCACGGCCUCACUGGGCACGACCUUUCCUAGGUGGUACAUCACGGCCUCACUAGGCACGACCUCUCAUAGGUGGUUCAUCACGGCCCUAUUAGGCACGACCUCUCAUAGGUGGUUAAUCACGGCUUCACUGGGCACGACCUUUCCUAGGUGGUACAUCACGGCCUCACUCCCAUCAAUUUCUACACUUAGGAUUUUAUAAAAAAAAAUCCCUAUUUAUCACAAUCACACUCCAUUUGCCACAAUCAAUCAUCAAAUUCAAAUUCUAAAUACACAGCAGCGAUCAGCACGAAAUUCUGAGAGAAUAAGGUUCCAAACUAAUUUUCAGAAUUUAUCAAAUAAUUAAAUUUAUUCCGAAAAUUAAUUAAAUAAUAAUAUCCAUGUCUUUCACGAUCCACACUCAAUUUAUAAUAUCCAAUCAUCAAUUUCAAAAUCUGACUACACAGCAGCGAGCGGCACGAAAUUCUGAGAAUUUAGGGUCCUGACAAAAUUUUCGGAAUUUAAUAAAUAAUUAAAUUUAUUCCGAAAAUAAUUAAAUAAUAAUAUUUUAAUCAUUUCGAAUAAUAAAAUAUUAUUAAAUUAUUAAACAAUUUCGAAAUAUUUAUUUAAUCCCAAAAGUAAUUCAUUUAUGUCAAAUCACCAUUAUACUAAUAUAAACAUCAAUUUAACCUUAACCAAACAUACUUUAAGUUAAUCCAACCUCUUAAUCUAAUUCACAAUUAAAUAAACUCAACUAACCACCUAAGCUUAAUUAACUUAAGCUAAACACACCUAAAGCAUAAUUAACCCUCUAAGCGAGGUUUAGUGAGCUAAACUCACCGGAUUAACGAGCCGAGCGAACCAAAACGACGAGGACGACGCGAUGAUCGACUUUCCUCAAGGCGGGCCGAGCAUCCGGGCUCGGGAAGGCGGCCAAAACGGGC
rnacentral:lncRNA from 1 species